CAUUUGGAUCUCUCAGUUCUUGAGGGAGAUCUCCAUGAUAUUAUUUUUAUGAUGAUUUUUCCUUCUUUUUCUCCUCAUGAUUUGUUGUUUUCUCUUAUCUGUUUUGAUGUGUUUUCAUUUUUGUUGAAUUUGAUUUAGCUUAUUGGUUGUUUAUUUUAGGGUUUGUUGCUGUUUGUCACAUGGACAUGCAUGUAGAUGGAAUCUUUCUUUGGGCAAGUCUUUUGAAAGGAUUUUAUUGUGUGGUGUGUUUCAGCUUCUUUAAUUUGAUGCAAUUUGGAUGAGAUAGUUCUGUGGACUGAAGCUUUGCAUGACAACGAGAGAGAGCACGCCUGUCUGCACUCAUGAAAUGGAGAUGAUUGUGUACAAGAGUGCUUUCUCUCGGUGUCAUAUGAUCUUGUAAUCUGCAAAGUAUGCAAUCUUUAUGCAAGUCUGCCUGCCGUCAUUGAUGAGCUUGAAAUAAUGGACAAUUAAAAUGGAGGGAAGUCCUAAGAUUGUUACUCAACUUAUGACUUGUUAUUUAGUGUAUCGCAUGUGUUUGAAGUGUACCGCAUGUGUUUGAUGGUUUGCGUAUAUGGUUCAUAUAUUUUAUGUUCAUCACUUGGUUACCACUUACUACAAGUUAUUGUUAUUUACCACCCAUCUUUUGUCAAUCAUGUCAUUUGUUAUGACUUGGUUCAAACUUCUUGCACAGUUAAUUGCUUAUAUGGGAGUGAUUAGAGGGAGCUUCUCCCAUAUGUUUGCUAUAUUUCCUCUAAGCAUUGAUGUGAAAGAGUUUCUCCCAAGAAAAAUUAAGUGUUCCAUUUACUUAUCUAAGCUUGCCAUGAGCGUCGAAAAAUGUUAGCCUUACCGACUUACUACAUGCUGUAAUUUUGGAACUCUCAAUCGAUGUUAACAUAUCUAACGAGCAGCUAUCCAAUUGCCUAUCAUCUUGAUUAAUGUCGUUGUUUUUCUGACAUGAUAAAGAGGCUACACUAAUAACCUUGUAGUAUUUGGUGCUGGCACAAAAGGUUUAACUAGAUCUGCAUAUCCAGAGAUAAGAGUGUCAAGAAAAAGAAGUCGGUAUGAUGAAUUUGUUUCUCCUUCUGAUGUUAGAUAGUCUUUUUUUUUUUGGUUCUGAUCAAAUAGCUGGGGAUGUUAGAUAGUCAUACACUAUGAUUUUUUUUUUUUAAUAACUUCAUCCUUCAGGCUAAAGCAUAGAUCGCGAAACUGUUUUGUGAUGGAUGCCUGGCAUCAUGUUUAAUUAAUUUCUUUUUACCAAAAAUACUGAAUGAAUAACCUGAGCAUUGACGGAGUCGUGGAAAGUCUCAAUUGCGAUAUGUGGCCAUGUCUUGCUUAUGUAGACCCUGGUUAUUGAGUUGAGAAAAAACUGAAUAGAGUGCUUUUAUUUGUAGUAAUUGCAUGAGACAAACUUGCAUAGGCAUUAACUUGAAAUUGGAGCUAGGUACCGUAGAACAGGAUGUAAUUGCCAACCCGAAAGAGGAUAAAGUUUUCUUCUGAUUUGUUUCAAUUUUGAUGCGAAUCUGGUCAAUUAUGGAGCACUCUUAUUAUGAUUUUAAAAUUAGUUUCGGUUUCUUUUUUGUUUCUUUUGCAGGCUGAUGAGUUAGCUUUGUUGACUAAAGCUAUGCUUGAGAAUGAGAGAGAGCACUUUUGUCCGCGCUCAUACAAAUGACAUGGUUGCAUACAGGAGUGCUCUCUCUUAGUGUCAUUCAAUCUCGAUACAAGUGAAGCAUGGAAUGCUUAAUAUUUUCUCUUAUUGAUCAUGAAAUGCUGGCAAGGAGAUUUAGGUUGGUUCUAAGUUCCAAUUUAGAUUAAUUCUGAUGACAUAGUUCUGUUGACUGCAGCUUUGCAUGAGAAUGAGAGAAAGAGCAUGCUUGUCAGGGUUCAUGAAAGGGACAUGGUUGUAUACAAGAGUGUUCUCUCUCGGCGUCAUAAGAUCUUGUAAUCUGCAAAGCAUGCAAUCUUCAUGCAAGUCUGCCUGCCCUCAAUUACAAGCAUGAAACAUUGGACAAUGGCUGAUGAGUUAGCUUUGCUGAUUAAUGCUUUGCCUGACAACGAGAGAGAGCACUUUUGUCCGCACUCAUACAAAGGCCAUGGUUGUGUACAAGAGUGCUCUCUCUUGGUGUCAUUCGAUCGCGAUACCAGUGAAGUCUUCUCUCAUUGAUCAUGAAGUUCUGGCAAAAAGGGAAAUUAAGGUUAGUUCUCAGUUCCAAUGCUGGUUUACUUUUUAAGUGUAUUAAUUUGAGUUUCAUGCUGAUACUCUGCUUCUUAUAAUCUUUUUGGUUGUGUUGCAUUUGGGGAUGUUUUAUUUUCUUUUGGUAUCCUACUUAUAGAUUGGAAGAAUAAUGGGCUCCACCAUGAGCCAAAUGUCAAAUGACAAUAUCUUUUAUAUAUUGUUGUAUUCAGCAGUAUUGGUGUCAGUCAUCAUCAUUUGUCACUCCCAUCCAGAGAUGGUCAUUAGGGGAAUAUUCAUCCACCUUCUUAGUCAUAGGCAAAAGGGUGGAGUCGGUCCGCCUCUGUGAUAGCUCCACUUCCUGGUCUUUCUUUGGGAAAACGUUUUACUUCAGUAGUUUUUGUUGUGCUUGCUUGCUUGGAGGGUUAAAGUACCUUUUUCCUAGUCCAAAAGCUUUUCGUCAGUUCGGAAGAUCUGAUCCAACAGAUUUUCCAUAUUGUCAGCUGCCUCAAACGAGGGUUAUUAUUAUCAUGGUUUUGAGUUGAGGGAUUGUUGAUCACUUUCUGUCCUAAUUUUCAACUUUUUUCUUUAAUUUGUAGUUGGUGAUAUAUAGUUAGUGACAACAUCGUAUUCAAUUGUAAGAUAUACUUAGAAACACUGGAUUGAUAAAGGAUGCGUCAGUCAAGGAAUCUGCCGUCUUUAUUAUAUCUGUAUUUUUAACAUGGAAUCAUCUGUUCACAAGUUUUAAUUAGUUUGUAACAUACCUAUCAGCUGAUGCAGUAAAGACAAGAGUAGGGUUACGUGUCUAAUUCACUAGGUUUCCGCAGCUCCCUAAGUGAUGGGAAAUGUCUGUUAAACUUAAAGAUAUACUCUCACCAGUAUCUACCAAUUGAAUCCCAGAGAAUUUGGUUGGAAAUUAAUGGCAGAAUAUACUAGCUUAUAAUGAGAUCCAAGGAUAAAUAGGGAGUCAUGGAUCGAUUGUUCUUAUGGAGGGUCGGUAUGGUCACAAACCAAUUUUUUCUCUAUUCCUACAUCAUUAUUUUUCCAAGGAUUCAACUAUUACUUCCCCUUUUCCAAUAAUAUAUUUACGCACUACUUAUGGGUUUUGUGCCAGUUUCAUCAUUUUUUGUUGGUACACGACAUUCUUGUAAAUAGAAUCCUGAUCUAUAUACAUGCAUGGCAGAUGUUAGAAAUUAACCACUCGUACUUAGCCCAACCCCCUUUCUUCUUAUGAAAUUCUCUCAUCUUCUUUAAUCCAACAUGUAAAGUCUUCCCUUUUCCUUAUUUACAAUUAGUUUGGUGCAACAUACUACAUAUAUCACAUUUAGGUAUUCACCUACCAAUCCUGGUACAGCUUGACUAGUUGUAUCUUCUGUGCUGUAUAUCAAAACUGAACUUGAUGCUACUUGAUUCAGUGAUGAAGUAUAUUUGUACUCUUGCUCGGCUGUUGUGUAGUAGUAAAUUGUAAUUGUCUUUAAGAAAUUCCCUUGAAAAUCAUUUAGUGCGAAGUGGUAGUUUUAUAAUAUGAUCUGAAGUUGAGAACAUCUUAUUCAUUAGUUUUUCCUAUAGAAACUGCUACUUGACUACCACUCGCGACUACCAAAGAAAACUAUCAAAAUGUUGGCUGAUAUGGUAGAUUGUAGUCUUGGAUGCUACAUAUGGGACUCUUUGGCCCUACAUCUACAAGUGCUCAGAUCCUAGCCCAUACUUCGGUAGUUGAGAUUUCUAGUUGUAAGUGGUGGAGGUCUUGUAGCUAAAAUAUAUUCCCCUAAGUUUUAGACUUUGUUGUUGCUUCUGACGGUGGUGUUAAUCAGAUUCUAUGACAUCAGAUUGUUGCACAACAUCUCAUGAUCUCUAUGUUAUGACUUUUCCCGCUUUGAUUGACAGGUUGUAUACUUGUGCCUUUACGUAUCCAGUCCUCCCUACUUUUUGUGGUCUAUUAGUAGAGUUUCAAGCCUUGUGUAUUGACACGAGGCUUAUGAGUCAUGAAGCUGUUGACGAAAACAGGCAGAAUGCUGUGUGUAGUUUUGGGUUCUAACAGGUAAACAUUUGCUGCGGGUUUAUAUUUUGCACGGAGGCACAGUUGGGCUGCUACUUGAGUAUUCUGGAGCUGUGAACAAUGGGAGCUGGAAGUCCAGGAACCUUCGCAUGUUGGCAUCUGCAAGUAGUAUUCGUACUAUUUGAAUAUGGUUUAAAUUGUUGCAAAUUGAUGCGCAAAGUAAAACACGGAAAACGGGGUCAUCCACCAUUGCAGUGGCCGAAUGGCGAAGUUGAUAUGAUCAAUAUGAAAAAAGAAAAUAAAAGGAAAGAAGGGAGUUUUGUUUUUUAAUUUUUUGUUUUUUAAUAUGGAGUUUAAUUUUCUUGAUUCAUGUAAUUUGAGUUUUAACUAUGUAAAUGACAUGGCCAAAUAUUUGCCAAUAAUCUAGUCAA